rnacentral:rRNA from 1 species
GAGUUUGAUCCUGGCUCAGAAUGAACGCUGGCGGCGUGCUUAACACAUGCAAGUCGAACGGUAACAGAAGAGCUUGCUCUUGCUGACGAGUGGCGCACGGGUGAGUAAUGCAUAGGUAACGUGCCCCUUGGUCUAGGAUAGCCACUGGAAACGGUGAUUAAUACUGGAUACUCCUUCUCUCUUAAUGAGAGUUGGGAAAGUUUUUCGCUAAGGGAUCGGCCUAUGUUGUAUCAGGUAGUUGGUGAGGUAAUGGCUCACCAAGCCUAUGACACAUAGCGGGUCUGAGAGGAUGAUCCGCCACACUGGUACUGAGACACGGACCAGACUCCUACGGGAGGCAGCAGUGGGGAAUAUUGCACAAUGGACGAAAGUCUGAUGCAGCAACGCCGCGUGGAGGAUGACACAUUUCGGUGCGUAAACUCCUUUUAUAUGAGAAGAUAAUGACGGUAUCAUAUGAAUAAGCACCGGCUAACUCCGUGCCAGCAGCCGCGGUAAUACGGAGGGUGCAAGCGUUAUUCGGAAUCACUGGGCGUAAAGGGUGCGUAGGCGGUUUGAUAAGUCUGAUGUGAAAUCCUAUGGCUCAACCAUAGAACUGCAUUGGAAACUGUCAAACUAGAAUACUGAAGGGGCAGAUGGAAUUAGUGGUGUAGGGGUAAAAUCCGUAGAUAUCACUAGGAAUACCGAAAGCGAAAGCGAUCUGCUGGGAAGUUAUUGACGCUGAGGCACGAAAAGCGUGGGGAGCAAACGGGAUUAGAUACCCCGGUAGUCCACGCCCUAAACGAUGAAUGCUAGUCGUCGGAAAGCUCGUCUUUUCGGUGAUGCAGUUAACACAUUAAGCAUUCCGCCUGGGGAGUACGGUCGCAAGAUUAAAACUCAAAGGAAUAGACGGGGACUCGCACAAGUGGUGGAGCAUGUGGUUUAAUUCGAAGAUACGCGAAGAACCUUACCAAGCCUUGACAUUGAUAGAACGGACCAGAGAUGGACCGGUGCCUUUUCGGAGGAACUUGAAAACAGGUGCUGCACGGCUGUCGUCAGCUCGUGUCGUGAAGAUGUUGGGUUAAGUCCCGCAACGAGCGUAACCCUCGUCGUUAGUUGCUAACAGUUCGGCUGAGCACUCUAGCGAGACUGCCUUCGCAAGGAGGAGGAAGGUGAGGACGACGUCAAGUCAUCAUGGCCCUUAUGGCUUGGGCUACACACGUGCUACAAUGGGGCGUACAGAGAGUUGCGAUACCGCGAGGUGGAGCUAAUCUCAUAAAGCGUCUCUCAGUUCGGAUUGGACUCUGCAACUCGAGUCCAUGAAGCUGGAAUCACUAGUAAUCGUAGAUCAGCAAUGCUACGGUGAAUACGUUCCCGGGUCUUGUACUCACCGCCCGUCACACCAUGGGAGUUGAUUUCACCCGAAAUCGGGAUGCCAAACUGGCUAAAGCUUACGGUGGAAUUAGCGACUGGGGUGAAGUCGUAACAAGGUAGCC